GCUCUUGGUUCAAUGGUAGAAUGCUCGCCUGCCACGCGGGCGCCCCGGUUUUGAUUCCCAGCCGAUGCA
rnacentral:tRNA from 1 species